GUUAACGGUCCGUUUCCGGGGCGGAGCCAGGGAGGGCGGGGAGUUUAGGCUGUGCCGACCCCUGAGCCCCCCUUCAGGAACCGUUCGGAGCCCCGGACAUGUCGCGAUUGAGGAGAUACGAGGUGGCGCUGGAAGCGGAGGAGGAGAUCUACUGGGGCUGCUUCUACUUUUUUCCUUGGCUGCGAAUGUGGCGCAGGGAGCGGAGGUGAGGGGGCUGCGAUCUCGUGGGGGCAUGAACGAGGUUCAGUGUCGGUGGACGGAUGUGGGGGAGUCCAGGCGCCCCUGCCCCGCCUCAUGUCAUUGUCGGGUCGCCCUACAGCUCGGCGCACCCCCGGGAGCAGAAGCUGGAGCCUCUGCGGGGCCUAAUGAGCUGUUUGUCGAGCGGCCUGAGGCCUGCUCCCCAGCGCUCGGGUCGUGGUCUCCUCUGUCGCACCCCCACCGCUGCUGCACAGACAGCCGGUGCAUUAAAGAUUUAAAGUCACGCCCACUGCCUCCCUGACUUUAGCGCCGCAGCCGCCUUUGGUGCUGGGAAUCCCACUCCACACCUGCUGUUUGUUAACCCACAGGGCAUCCCUCCCUGGUAGGAAGCCUUUGCAUGUGUAGGACUCCAUUGCUCCUAAGGGUCAGGCUUGUAAUUACUAUCAGUGACUGGCUCUCUGCCACGCCCUCCCCAAAAGCACCCACACUGAGAGUAGGCCACAUCUUUCCCCCACUUAUCAGUGUUCCCACAACUUCAGCUGUUACCACCUAACUCUAGCCAUAACUUUGCCAGAUGUCUGGAGAAUCCUCUUUUCCUGGGAGUGGAUAUAAAACAUUUUAGCCAAAGUUGAGGAGUCUGCUGUCAGUGAGAGGAAGGACCAGUUUCUAGAAGCUGUCUCCAGCAGUGUACCCCAGGAGAGUGACAAGGGUUGAGGGUCCAAGGUCCUUUCUAUAGUUAAAACCCCAAACUGGCUCCCCCAAUCUGAUCCCAAUUUUUUGUUUUUGUAUUUAAUUUUUUAAGUGUGUGUGUGUUUGUAAUGUGUGUGUGUGCCCACCACAAUGCAUGUGCAUGCAGAGAUCAGAGGAUAUGACCCUUUGUGAGGGUUUUUUCAUCCAUAUGGCUUCCCGGGAUGGAAUUCAGGGUUUCAGGCUUGGCACCAUGGCCAUCCUGCCAGCCCCAUCACCGUUUUAAAAAGUCCUUGGUAUCAGCAAGAACUAGCAGUUUGCUAAGAAUCCUGCUACCCUAACCCCAUGAUUACUUUGUCCACCGAAAUCACUCUGGAACCCGUUAACCCUUACAGUGGGUGAGAGUCAGACUGUCCUCAUAGUGUCCACCACAUAGACACACUGACUCCCAUUCCAGAACAGGCACCUGAGGAUUAUGCUAUGGAGACAGCCUGGAUCCUGGCUGAGCUCAAAGCUGACUUUUAGCCUGGCACUGCCUCUGUCAUAGCACACUGUGCUGGAAAAGAGGACUUGGCCUCCAUAUCUUUGGAGAAGCCAAAAUUAGGAGAGAAGGAAGCCAGGAAAAUGUUUCUGCCUUCCAAAGAUCUCUGGAUUGACAAACCCAGGGGAGCUCACAUGGCAAGCAGUGUAGACAGGAUGGUGGAGUGGGGUGAGCGGGGCAGGCGAGGUGAAUUUCCUUAGAAUUUCUUUUUUGGUGAAACACCCAAGCCCUGGGACAAAGAUCUAGACCGGGCGUAAGAGAGAAGCUUCGGGUACCAAAACUUGAGGAUGCAUGGCCUCUGGCUCGUGGGUGACCUUCAAGUGUGCAAACUUUUAGCCAUUCCCUCACAAUUUCUGCAUCGAAGACACCUUCAAAUGCUUUGACUAGCCCUGGGUCCACAUCUUCCCAGACUGUCAUAAGACCUCUGAGAAAAUGUCCAAAAGGUGCCUAUGAGUCUUAACCCUGGUCAGGAGGAAGCAAGGCCUUUUCAGUUUAGCCAAAGAAACUGCUCGGAGGCAGUGGAAGUCCUAUCCCAAGAUCUCUACUCCAGAGGAUGGCUGGCCUCAGAGCAGGAAAUUCAGUCUCCAGAUAAGGGAUGGAUUCUUGGUGUUAUGACUCGGUUUAUAUUUUAAAUCCAGAGCAGAACUUGAGAAUUGAAAUCCCCAGAUUAGGAGCCUAGGCCAUUAGCCCAAUAAACACACCCCUACUCUAGGCCGUUUACAACUUUCCAGAAAGCAUUGACUCAAAAUGAAUAGGAAUUUUGCAUACAGAUCCAGGUAUACCCCAAGGCCCCACUGCAAUAAAUUUGGAUUUCCACAUUGAUUCCACCGAACCAUAUUAGUACAUACUUAUUUCUGAUGGAAGGAAGCGUAGGGUGGGUACAGGUGUUUGGGGUUUGGGGAAAUGGGUAUUUCUGAAGCUGGGUUCGGAAGGGUAUGUUCCUUCAAGCCCAGAAUGGAAAGACGGUAGAAUUUGAAUCAAACGAGACGACCUAACUUUGUUCUUGAGUCCGAUGUCUCCAACAAGCCAGAGACUAAGUCUGGAAGCCCCCAGCCUCCCACUGAGAAGCUGGCAUCCGUGGAACAAGACUAAGCAGAAGCAAGAAGCCUUGCCUCUGCCCUCCAGCACUAGCUGCUGUACUCAGCUCUAUAGACAGCCACUCCCAAGCAGGCUGCUGAGGAGGAUUGUCCACAUGGAACUGCAGGAGGCCGAUGGGGACUGUCACCUCCAGGCUGUCGUGCUUCACCUGGCUCGGCGCAGUGUCUGUGUUCAUCCCCAGAACCGCAGCCUGGCUCGGUGGUUAGAACGCCAAGGGAAAAGGCUCCAAGGGACUGUACCCAGUUUAAAUCUGGUACUACAAAAGAAAAUGUACUCAAACCCCCAACAGCAAAACUAAUAAAGCAACAUUAGACGACAAUCUCCAAAAA